rnacentral:tRNA from 5 species
UGGGGUGUCGCCAAGUGGUAAGGCAACGGGUUUUGAUCCCGUCAUUCGCAGGUUCGAGUCCUGCCACCCCAGCCA